UACCUACGGGACGCAGCAGUAGGGAAUAUUGCUCAAUGGGGGAAACCCUGAAGCAGCAACGCCGCGUGGAGGAUGAAGGUUUUCGGAUUGUAAACUCCUUUUGUUAGAGAAGAUAAUGACGGUAUCUAACGAAUAAGCACCGGCUAACUCCGUGCCAGCAGCCGCGGUAAUACGGAGGGUGCAAGCGUUACUCGGAAUCACUGGGCGUAAAGAGCGCGUAGGCGGGAUAGCAAGUCAGAUGUGAAAACUGAGGGCUCAACCUUCAGACUGCAUUUGAAGCUGCUGUUCUUGAGUGAAGUAGAGGG
rnacentral:rRNA from 1 species